rnacentral:rRNA from 1 species
UACGGGGGGGGCAAGCGUUGUUCGGAAUUACUGGGCGGAAAGGGCGUGUAGGCGGCCAACUAAGUCCGACGUGAAAUCCCCAGGCUUAACCUGGGAACUGCGUCGGAUACUGGAUGGCUUGAAUCCGGGAGAGGGAUGCAGAAUUCCAGGUGUAGCGGUGAAAUGCGUAGAUAUCUGGAGGAAUACCGGUGGCGAAGGCGGCAUCCUGGACCGGCAUUGACGCUGAAGCGCGAAAGCUAGGGGAGCAAACGGG